GGAAGCUCUACACUUUCUGUAGAUGCUGCAAGCAAUAUCAGAAAAAAUACCCCGAAAACCCCGAUCAAAUAUUUUAGAAAAAAGAAAAUCUUCCCAAGAAAGACGUCUAAAACUGCACAAGUAGCUACACCUGAAUCUGAAGUACAAAUCGUUGAGUUUCAACAACAAACUCGUUCUGAACCUUUGGAA